rnacentral:rRNA from 1 species
UACGUAGGUGGCGAGCGUUGUCCGGAUUUACUGGGCGUAAAGAGCGCGCAGGCGGUCGUGCAAGUCGCGUGUGAAAGCCCCCGGCUCAACUGGGGAGGGUCACGCGAUACUGCUCGACUUGAAGGCAGGAGAGGGAAGUGGAAUUCCCGGUGUAGUGGUGAAAUGCGUAGAUAUCGGGAAGAACACCAGUGGCGAAAGCGCUCUACUGGGCCAUGACUGACACUGAGGGACGAAAGCUAGGGGAGCGAAAGGG